rnacentral:rRNA from 1 species
AACGAACGCUGGCGGCAGGCCUAACACAUGCAAGUCGAGCGAGGACUUCGGUCCUAGCGGCGGACGGGUGAGUAACGCGUGGGAACGUGCCCUUUGCUUCGGAAUAGCCCUGGGAAACUGGGAGUAAUACCGGAUGAGCCCUUUGGGGGAAAGAUUUAUCGGCGAAGGAUCGGCCCGCGUUGGAUUAGGUAGUUGGUGGGGUAAUGGCCUACCAAGCCGACGAUCCAUAGCUGGUUUGAGAGGAUGAUCAGCCACACUGGGCCUGAGACACGGCCCAGACCCCUACGGAGGGCAGAGGGGGGAAUCUUAGACAAUGGGGGAAACCCUGAUCGAGCCAUGCCGCGUGAGCGAUGAAGGCCUUAGGGUUGUAAAGCUCUUUCAGCUGGGAAGAUAAUGACGGUACCAGCAGAAGAAGCCCCGGCUAACUCCGUG